UGGGGAAUAUUGGACAAUGGGCGCAAGCCUGAUCCAGCCAUGCCGCGUGUGUGAAGAAGGCCUUCGGGUUGUAAAGCACUUUCAGUAGGGAGGAAGCGUUGUGUGUUAAUAGUACACAGCGUUGACGUUACCUACAGAAGAAGCACCGGCUAACUCUGUGCCAGCAGCCGCGGUAAUACAGAGGGUGCAAGCGUUAAUCGGAAUUACUGGGCGUAAAGCGCACGUAGGCGGUUUUUUAAGUCAGAUGUGAAAGCCCCGGGCUCAACCUGGGAAUUGCAUUUGAAACUGGAAAACUAGAGUGUGUGAGAGGGGGGUAGAAUUCCAAGUGUAGCGGUGAAAUGCGUAGAGAUUUGGAGGAAUACCAGUGGCGAAGGCGGCCCCCUGGCACAACACUGACGCUCAGGUGCGAAAGCGUGGGGAGCAAACAGG
rnacentral:rRNA from 1 species